rnacentral:rRNA from 1 species
CGUAGGGGGCAAGCGUUGUCCGGAUUUAUUGGGCGUAAAGCGCUCGCAGGUGGUUCGUUGCGUCGUGCGUGAAAGACCCCGGCUCAACUGGGGGGUGUCGUGCGAUACGGGCGAACUGGAGGCCAGUAGGGGGAUGCGGAAUUCCGGGUGUAGUGGUGGAAUGCGUAGAGAUCCGGAGGAACACCAGCGGCGGAGGCGGCAUCCUGGACUGGUCCUGACACUCAGGAGCGAAAGCGUGGGGAGCGAUCCGGAUUAGAUACCCGGGUAGUCCACGCUGUAAACGAUGAGUACUAGGUGUCGGGGGUAUCGACCCCCUCGGUGCCGCAGCUAACGCGAUAAGUACUCCGCCUGGGGACUACGGCCGCAAGGCUA